GGCUCCUGUGGCAUCGUGGUUUGUGGGUCGGACUAUGACCCUGGAGGCCAGGGUUCGAAUCCCCGCUCAGCCC